UAUGAGGGGGGCAAGCGUUGUUCGGAAUUAUUGGGCGUAAAGGGCGCGUAGGCGGCGCCACAAGUCACUUGUGAAAACUCUGGGCUCAACUCAGAGCCUGCAAGCGAAACUGUGGUGCUGGAGUAUGGGAGAGGUGCGUGGAAUUCCCGGUGUAGCGGGGAAGUGCGUAGAUAUCGGGAGGAACACCUGUGGCGAAAGCGGCGCACUGGACCACAGCUGACGCUGAGGCGCGAAAGCUAGGGGAGCAAACAGG
rnacentral:rRNA from 1 species